UCUUCCCAUUUAUUUGCUGCUUAUAGUCGCACAGUGAUAUGAGCAGUUAUACGCGUGGGAUAAAAUAACAUUGGGUCACUGUGAAUUGAGAUGAAGUAACCAUUUUCAUCUCUUCUGCAUAGACUAGACAUUG
rnacentral:snoRNA from 1 species